GCCAUCUCACCUGGCAUGCGGCGAAAAAAUGUAUUACAUGUUGAAAACAAUUUAUCGCGGUGCAAACUGAGCCCAGGGCGCAUACAAGAUUACUCUCGAAAUUACUUGCUAAUCAUGCUGUGUUCCCGACACCAUAUCUCGUUCCAUCAAGUGAUGCAGCAGCUCAAGAUACACAAGGAUGUUGUUUCUCCGUGGGCUUGUCUAUUUGCGGUCUUGAAGCUUCAUCAGGCACUGUGGGUAGUCUGGGUACAAACAACAUCAGCUAGGUAGUUGAAGGAACCAAUCUGGCAUGCACGCCUACUUAUGUGCUAUAGAAGAUGAGUCCAUGAUGUUGCAUUGAUUUGUCCAUGAACUGCAAAAUGGGUACAAGAAAUGAAGGAGCUCAGUACUUGGCGAACAAGUAGGCCGAUAACAAUCAGAAUUCAGAACAUCCAACCACGUAUAUCUAAGCAUUCCAAUAAGGAGUAACUAAUGGAACUUAUCAUGCUUUGCUUGAAAGUAUACACUAAAAGUAACUUCUGAGAUGCUUCACUCAGCUGAUCAGCUACAAGAAACCAAAAGUACUACACAGCAACCUCUAAUAUUUUCAUUUUUAGGGGAGUAACAUCUAAACACUAGGAAGUGCAUAAACCAGAAAAAUUUGUCAGCCACAAGUGUUUUUGUGUUCCCCUACAUACACACAACAAUCAUCAUCUUCCAUAUACAUCGACUUCAUUUUUCUGACAACAUGAACUUUGUUGUUGUCGCUGUAUAUGAACUUCUCAUGUAAACAAAGAGAGAGAAUGCACCGAGCCAAGGUAGAAUCUUACAAAGAAAACACACUUUUUUGUUUGAGGCAUAUACACAAACAGCUUGUGUGCACUGCCAGUUGAAGGAGAGGGCAUCUCAAUGCGGAGGCUAUGGAGUGCGGGGGCAGAGUCGAAGGCAGCAGCAGCAUGGAGGAAGAGGGCAGCAACAGCAUGG
rnacentral:lncRNA from 1 species